GUGUUCUUAUGCAGCUCCUGCUCUAAAAAAUGUGUAACCUGCUCAUCAGCUUAGCAGUGACCAUAUAUUUAAUUCAGCUUCUCAAUUGUGUAGCUUUAGCUGUUGUAUACAGGGUUUAGCUUGUUAGUUGUUAGUAUAGGUGUGCUCUAUAUUUCAGCAAUGUCUCAUCUAGGAUGACAGGUUUCAAACAGGUCAAGUGCCUCUAUGCACUUAAUUAGUUUAGAUAUUUUCUUUAUUUUCUUCAUCUCAUAUGUCAUUAUACUGAAUUUGAGCAAACCUUAAGCUUGAUGCAGACUACUUUUAACAAUUAUCCACCUCACAUCAUAGCUGACUGAGGUGCCUCUUCAUAUUAAUAUUAUGUUAUUAUUAAUGUUAUUAUCUUUUUAUAUAACAGCAAUAGUAUAUUACAAUAUUUUAUUUAUAUUUUAUUUUGCAUCCAUCGAGGGAUGGGGGUGAUCUGCAGUUUCACCCUUUCCCAAGCUGGAGACAUUUUCCUUUUCACACACUUUCCUUGGCUGAACAAUGACAAAACCUUAAUAUACCUUAUGCAUCUCUCUAUUUCAUUUAAUAUGUGUUUGUGUGAGUUAUGUAUUUUCUUUCAUUCUAUUCAGUCUGGGCACGGUCUUCAUCCCAACUAUGUUUCAUUGUUCAUACCAGUUUACAGGUUGUUAUCCUUGCUUUUAUCAAUUUGAAUACAUUACAGUUGUUUUAUUUAACUUUAUUCCUCUUGCAUUUAUAUGUAUUCAGUUGGGUCUGUUUCCAGCCCUUUUUAAACUUAUACUUGGAUCUCUAAUUUUUACUUGGUGAGGGAUUAUUAUGUUCUUCCUAAUCUGAACUGUUCUCUUCACCUGAGCUACUAUCCUGUUCUGAGUCACUGUCUUCUUUGUUUCUUACAGUCACGUGCAAAAUGUCCCUCUUUUCCACACUUCCAGCAUGUAGUGCUAUAAUUACUGUUUGGUGUGUAUCUAGGUCUGUCUCUACCUCUUGCUCUUCCCCUAUGCAUUCCUCUCCCUCUCUUUUGGCCUCUGAAGCCUCCCCUGUAGCCUCCACUAAAAGCUGUGAGAACAGUGUCAGCAUCGAGGGCAAAAACUGAGACCUUCUCUUUCCGUUUCACCACUGUCUGUGCAUGGUUAACAUAUUGAAACGCCUCAUCUGCUGUGCCCGUAUCUUGCGUUACCCAAUGCUUUUCUACAUGAGACCUAAUGGGUGGUAGUAAUCCUUUAAUGAAAGUGCAUUGAAAUAGUUUUUUAUUUUCCUCUUUCUUUUUCUUAUUUUCAGUUCUCCUUUCAGCUUCAGUUUCCCAUGCUUGGAAAAGUUUAUAUUCUUCUUCACGUUUUAAUUUCUUCUUUGGGUCUUUGUUAAUGUAAUUUCUUGUUUCAGGACAGCUUUCAGCUGGGUAACAGCUGAGGAUUGCAUUUCCUUCCCAGCUGCGGUUCUUUGCUUUUUGUGGAUUUCUCCACCUAUUUGCACUUAUUCUACCUGCUCCUGUUUGUUGUUUUUCUAACCAUUCCUCAUCAGGUAUUAAUUUUGCUUGUUUAUUACCCAUUUCCAAAGAUUUUGCUGGGCCGUCACUGGCACGCUUGACUCCAGAGUGGUUUACUGAUACGGCCUUCUACUUCACUUCUAAAAAAUGAAGCGGUAUCAGUUUUACGAGACGAAACUCAACCCUUCUCUUUUGUCACCAGUACUUGAGCCUCAAGCAAAGAAAACAAAUAAAAUAGAAGUAGUUCAGCAGCGUAUUGUGCUGUAAAAUCAACUUACUUCUACACACAUACACACAUAGACAUUUGCGCGCUAAUUUGUUACGAAGUAUUUGACGGUUACCUCUAAAACCGGUCUAAACACAGUUUCUUUUGGCAAACUUAAACCUAUUUGAAUUCCUUUGUCUCAACGUGUUUUAAUUUGCUUAAACGUAUUUUAAUUUGUCACGAAGUAAUUUUGGCUACCUCUAAAACCGGUCUAAACACAGUUCCUUUUGGCGAACUUAAACCUAAUCUAUGACGAAGUACUUAAUGGCUACCUCUAAAACCAGUCUAAACUUAGUUCUUUUUGGCGAACUUAAACCUAAUUUAUCACGUUUCUUUAAACCUUUGCGGCCGUUUUAUAUAUCAAAAAUAGUGUUUCUCACCCUCAGACGUCUCACUGGUGGUUCGGAUCGUCAGACUGAAUCCCAUCGCCGUGGACCAGACCGGCCCGGACUCAAACGUCCCAGGUCCUCCUCGUCUAAGAGGGCUGUGCACAGUCUUCGGUGCUGGCUCCACGGCGUCAGGAAACAGUAUGCCAGAUCCUGGAACAGAGUCACAGAUAACAGUUCUGAUAUUUCUGAUCCGGCUCGAAGGACCAAAAUAAAUGUCAAGAGAUUUAUUCUAAAGACACUUCUUCAGCUAAGAGUCUAAGGGUAGAAACACACACAGACGCUGUGUUUUUCACUUGUAUACAAGGGCGGUCACAGAACGCUCACACCAGAGUGGGGGCCCUGUGAUGCGCGCUCUGUUCUUGCACUUGUCUUUAUUUAUAUACAAAAGUAAUACAACAGUGAAUACGUCUAUUCAUAGGCAGAGGAAUGUUAGUGCGUAGGGAGUGAAGAUAAGAGUGGUUCAGAUGUAUGUGUGUGUGUGUUGUGAGAUUCAGAAGGACGCGGCCCCUCUUCUUGUUAAGGAGCGCAGAUAAAAGUGUCCAGCUCUCCUCUUCCUGCUUGUUCAGCUAUUAUCGCUGUGAGAAAGAAUUUAUAAAACAGUCUUGUAGUGGACAACAGUCUAAGUCAUCAAAAGGUCAACAUACAGUAUUCUAUCAUAUGCAAACUUAUAUCAUUAAAAGCUUAUACUGACUACUAAGUACAAUUUUCCAUUGACACUGCUGCAACUUCAAAGAGGACUGACACGGCAAAUUUGAAAUCCUACACAGAAAGCAAAGUGAUCGACACCGACCACUGAAUAAGAUUUCAACAUCUGGCAAUGUAAACUGAAAUACAUUAUUUUUUAAACAUUCUUGUCAAAUUGACUGAAACAGUGCACUCAUGCACAGCUAUUAAAAAGUGUGUUAAUUUGUUACUUGAUGUUAAAGCAAAUUAUCCCACAGUAACAGUAACAGAAACUCUUUCUGGCUGUGCUUCAGCUUUAAGAUGCAAUUAUUGAUUUACUUAUUAAAACAAUCAAUGUGACAUAAAGUGUGAUUUUUUUAAGGCUUUUCGAGAUUACAUUUAAUAAGAUUUCUAUUUGUGUACAUUACUUUUUCAUCUUCAAUCUUGUUACACCAUAUUUAUUAGUAUCUGCAUCUAUUACAUUGGCGGGUCCAGGGCGAUAAGUUCGCCUUGUAAUCGGAAGGUUGCCGGUUCGAGCCCUGGCUCGGACAGUCUCGGUCGUUGUGUCCUUGGGCAAGACACUUCACCUACUGCCUACUGGUGUUGGCCAGAAGGGCCGAUGGCGCGAUAUGGCAGCCUCGCUUCUGUCAGCCUGCCCCAGGGCAGCUGUGGCUACAACUGUAGCUUGCCUCCACCAGUGUGUGAAUGGGUG
ensembl:lncRNA